rnacentral:rRNA from 1 species
UACGUAGGGAGCAAGCGUUGUCCGGAAUCAUUGGGCGUAAAGCGCGCGUAGGUGGCUUCGUAAGUCCGUUGUGAAAGUCAAAGGCUUAACCUUUGAAAGCCGAUGGAUACUGCGGAGCUAGAGUACGGAAGAGGCGAGUGGAAUUCCUGGUGUAGCGGUGGAAUGCGCAGAUAUCGGGAGGAACACCAGUGGCGAAGGCGACUUCCUGGCCUGUUCUUGACGCUGAGGCGCGAAAGCUAGGGGAGCAAACGGG